AUUGAACGCUGGCGGAAUGCUUUACACAUGCAAGUCGAGCGGCAGCGCGGCCUUCGGGCUGGCUGCGAGCGGCGAACGGGUGAGUAAUGCAUCGGAACAUGCCCAGUCGUGGGGGAUAACACUUCGAAAGAAGUGCUAAUACCGCAUACGUCCUGAGGGGGAAAGCGGGGGAUCGCAAGACCUCGCGCGAUUGGAGUGGCCGAUGUCCGAUUAGCUAGUUGGUGGGGUAAAGGCCUACCAAGGCGACGAUCUGUAGCUGGUCUGAGAGGAUGUUCAGCCACACUGGGACUGGGACACGGCCCAGACUCCUGCGGGAGGCAGCAGUGGGGAAUUUUGGACAAUGGGGGCAACCCUGAUCCAGCCAUUCCGCGUGAGUGGAGGAGGCCUUCGGGUUGUAAAGCUCUUUCGGCAGGAACGAAACGGUGGGCUCUAACAUAGUCCGCGAAUGACGGUACCUGAAGAAGAAGCACCGGCUAACUACGUG
rnacentral:rRNA from 1 species